GAUGAACGCUGGCGGCGUGCCUAAUACAUGCAAGUCGAGCGAACGGACGAGAAGCUUGCUUUUCUGAUGUUAGCGGCGGACGGGUGAGUAACACGUGGAUAACCUACCUAUAAGACUGGGAUCACUUCGGGAAACCGGAGCUAAUACCGGAUAAUAUUUUGAACCGCAUGGUUCAAAAGUGAAAGACGGUCUUGCUGUCACUUAUCGAUGGAUCCGCGCUGCAUUAGCUAGUUGGUAAGGUAACGGCUUACCAAGGCAACGAUGCAUAGCCGACCUGAGAGGGUGAUCGGCCACACUGGAACGGGAACACGGUCCAGACGCCUACGGGAGGCAGCAGUAGGGAAUCUUCCGCAAUGGGCGAAAGCCUGACGGAGCAACGCCGCGUGAGUGAUGAAGGUCUUCGGAUCGUAAAACUCUGUUAUUAGGGAAGAACAUAUGUGUAAGUAACUGUGCACAUCUUGACGGUACCUAAUCAGAAAGCCACGGCUAACUACGUG
rnacentral:rRNA from 1 species